rnacentral:rRNA from 1 species
GACGAACGCUGGCGGCGUGCUUAACACAUGCAAGUCGAACGGGAAGGCCCUGCUUUUGUGGGGUGCUCGAGUGGCGAACGGGUGAGUAACACGUGAGUAACCUGCCCUUGACUUUGGGAUAACUUCAGGAAACUGGGGCUAAUACCGGAUAGGAGCUCCUGCUGCAUGGUGGGGGUUGGAAAGUUUCGGCGGUUGGGGAUGGACUCGCGGCUUAUCAGCUUGUUGGUGGGGUAGUGGCUUACCAAGGCUUUGACGGGUAGCCGGCCUGAGAGGGUGACCGGCCACAUUGGGACUGAGAUACGGCCCAGACUCCUACGGGAGGCAGCAGUGGGGAAUAUUGCGCAAUGGGCGGAAGCCUGAUGCAGCAACGCCGCGUGCGGGAUGACGGCCUUCGGGUUGUAAACCGCUUUCGCCUGUGACGAAGCGUGAGUGACGGUAAUGGGUAAAGAAGCACCGGCUAACUACGUG